rnacentral:rRNA from 1 species
UACAGAGGGUGCAAGCGUUGUUCGGAAUCAUUGGGCGUAAAGGGCGUGUAGGCGGUUUGUUAAGUCUGGCGUGAAAGCUCUCGGCUAAACCGGGAGAGGUCGUUGGAUACUGGCAAACUUGAGGACGGUAGAGGCGUGUGGAAUUCCGGGUGUAGUGGUGAAAUGCGUAGAGAUCCGGAGGAACACCAGUGGCGAAGGCGACACGCUGGGCCGUACCUGACGCUAAAGCGCGACAGCAUGGGGAGCAAACGGG